UGUUCCGGCAUGAUUUGGGCCUAUUUAAUUACACGUACAUUUUGACGUGUUUUUGGGCUUGGAAAUCAGACUGCUGAACUUCAUCCCUAAAUCUGAAACGGUCCGAGUUAUGUGUUCUUCAUGUUUAAUCUCUAUUAAUUCAAUUAACCACGAUGAGGCUUUGAAUGUGUGCUUAGAUUCGUUGAGUAAUUGUAUCUGCGAGUAUAAAUAGGUGAUACUCAUGCCAGCCACCGUCUCACCGCGUACAUGCAUCUUUUGAAAGCGAGUUCAAUAUACUCCUUGAGCGGAUUUGAUAUGACUCGGUUCAGUCAGAAUUUCAGACAUGUUCAUCAUAGUUGUGGAGUCAUGAAGUAUCACUUUUCAGGAACGUUCAUUCUCCCCACUUUUGAUAUGGUAGAACAAAAAUAUGUGACAGCUGAGGGUACUGAAUGAUAGUUGUCCUUGAAAGCAAAAUUCUCAAACCCCCAAAAGCUGGAGCCAAAGCUUCUAAAGAAGCAAUAGAAAUGUGGACAGAAGUUUCUCUAGUUUAAUUGUGGCUGCAAAAGACCAAGACCCAUGGAAUUUAGUUAUAUUAUUGCAACUGCUAUCCUACUCUACUCUCUUUGCAAUAUAUGAUCAAUAAUAAAAGCCUCUGGCGACAUGUAUGCAGAACCUUCAGCAAGGAAACCUGGCCAUCAAUCUGCAAAUAACAGCACCGUCCGUGGCUACAGGAAUAUCAGUUGCUUCCAUCAACAACUCACCCUCACAUGCACAUGAGCUAUUUUGGAAGCUACGUUAUUAGCAGCAUCACAAUCUCUACGACUUGAUUCUUUUCUCUAGACGUGAUUCUUAUCUCCAUAUCUCAUUCUUCUCUUAUCAUUUUCAAUAACUGAGGUUUGUUGUUUGAUCUUUGUUUCAAAAGGUAUUUGUAUUUGUUUACUGUUGAGAAAUACGUUACACAUUCAUGUUUAUAUCAAGCUGGCAGAUUCUUCCGUCAACAUUCGCUU